CACAUCUGCCUUCAUCACACUGCCUCCUGCUCUGAUGGGACUCUUAUGAUUCCAUCAGGCCCAUCCAGAUAAUCCAAGAUAAUCCCCCCACCUCAAGAUGCUUAAUUUAAUCACACAUCACAAUCCCUUUUGCCCUAUCAGGUGGUAUAUUCUCUGGUUCUGGACAUCUCAGAGGACUGCUGUCCAGCCCACCACAAAGAUUCAGCCACAAAUCUAACUGAUAGAAUAUUGAAACUUGAAGAAGGCAGUGCAAACUUAGGAUCAACACCAAAUGGAGCCUGCCGUACAGAGAGAGAGGACGAGGCAGCACAUGUGAACUUCUCACCAACAAAGACUGCUCACUCCCCAACACUGCAGAACUCCAUGGCUGAGAGCCACAGUUAGUCCUGGAGACAUCCAUGGGGAUGAGGAAGCUCCUGACUUCGGCUGUAAGGAUUCUCUCCUAGACCCCUCUGUGAUCCCCUGGUGACCAAGAUAUUCUCAAUAUAAAAUAAAAACCACUGUGGAUGAUAGGAGGAAAACACAAACAAGCCACCAGAGAUGGUUGAAGAAAGGAAAUGGGACGUGAGAAUAAAGAGAUAUCUUCCAUUUCCAGUUGUGAAAUGGGAUGAGUCCCAGAAUUUGAAGAUAGAACCCAACCUGCAAGUUCAAGAGAACGGAGAUCUACUGGAGCAAGAGCCAGGCCGCUGCAGGGCAGAGUGGUGGCCAUGGAACUUAGGAUGAAGCAAUGAGUCCCAGACAAUUUACAUAGGAAGAAAAGUAAGGGAUAAAUAAAAGAGGUGGUGCAUAAAGGAUUCCA
rnacentral:lncRNA from 1 species